rnacentral:rRNA from 1 species
UACGAAGGGUGCAAACGUUGCUCGGAAUUAUUGGGCGUAAAGCGCACGUAGGCGGCUUGGCAAGUCGGAUGUGAAAUCCCUCGGCUCAACCAAGGAAGUGCAUCCGAAACUGCCGAGCUUGAGUACUUAAGAGGAUCGCGGAAUUCCCGGUGUAGAGGUGAAAUUCGUAGAUAUCUGGAGGAACACCGGUGGCGAAGGCGGCAUCCUGGACCAAUUCUGACACUGAGGAGCGAAAGCCAGGGGAGCAAACGGG